AAACUACCAGAUAUCUGAAACUGAUAAAACUUCACAAUCAUUUAGUCCUUCAAAAUCUGGUGUCUUUACCACUUCAUGCAGUCAACCAUUUCCAUCUGGUCCUUCACUACUCUCAGCUGAUGAUAGUAAUCCAGUAUGUAGAAGGGAACCAAAUCAGUUAAUUGAUCACUCAUUUGCAGCCCAUGAACAAGAGUUCAUCAGAAGUGCACAUGAUGACUUUAUAUAUACCAAUGGCACUGGUAGCUCUCCAUAUGGUGAUGGUACAGAUAGCACAGACCUGCCAGAGCAAAAUUAUCUGAAGGAACCUUCAAAAUUAGUGUCUGUUGAUACUUUUACUUCAGGUUCUGAUACCAUGCAGUCAUGUCCUGUGGAUGAAAUGCCAAAU
rnacentral:misc_RNA from 1 species